ensembl:lncRNA
GACAGAAAGAAGAGGCAGAGACAGAGACAGAGACAGAAAGAAGGGGCAGAGACAGAGACAGAGACAGAAAGAAGGGGCAGAGACAGAGACAGAGACAGAAAGAAGGGGCAGAGACAGAGACAGAGUAAGAAAGAAGGGGCAGAGACACAGACAGAAGGAAGGGGCAGAGACAGAAAGAAGGGGCAGAGACAGAAAGAAGGGGCAGAGACAGAGACAGAACGAAGGGGCAGAGACAGAGACAGAAAGAAGGGGCAGAGACAGAGACAGAAAGAAGGGGCAGAGACAGAGACAGAAAGAAGGUGCAGAGACAGAGACAGAAAGAAGGUGCAGAGAAAGAGACAGAGACAGAAAGAAGGGGCAGAGACAGAGACAGAGUAAGAAAGAAGGGGCAGAGACAGAGACAGAAAGAAGGGGCAGAGACAGAGGCAGAAAGAAGGGGCAGAGACAGAGGCAGAAAGAAGGUGCAGAGACAGAGGCAGAAAGAAGGUGCAGAGACAGAGACAGAGACAGAAAGAAGGGGCAGAGACAGAGACAGAGACAGAAAGAAGGGGCAGAGACAGAGACAGAGACAGAAAGAAGAGGCAGAGACAGAGACAGAGACAGAAAGAAGGGGCAGAGACAGAGACAGAGACAGAAAGAAGGGGCAGAGACAGAGACAGAGACAGAAAGAAGAGGCAGAGACAGAGACAGAAAGAAGAGGCAGAGACAGAGACAGAAAGAAGGGACAGAGACAGAGACAGAAAGAAGGGGCAGAGACAGAGACAGAAAGAAGGGGCAGAGACAGAGACAGAAAGAAG